CAUUACGCACAUACUAUACUGAGAAUGGCUGAUCUUGUCUGAUCUCAGAAGCUAAGUAGGGUUGGACCUGCUUAGUACUGCUAGGAAUACCCGGCACCAUAGAGG
rnacentral:rRNA from 1 species